rnacentral:rRNA from 1 species
GACGAACGCUGGCGGCGUGCUUAACACAUGCAAGUCGAACGGAAAGGCCCUUCUUUUGUGAGCUGCUCGAGACGCGAACGUGUGACUAACACGAGCGUCCCCUGCCCCUGACUUUGCGCUAACUUCUUGAAACUGGUGCCAAUACCUCAUCGCUGCCCCCGCUGCAUGGUGUGGGUUGGAUUUUUUGGGCGGUUGGGGAUGGCCUCGCGGCCUAUCAGCUUGUUGGUGGGGUAGUGGCUUACCAAGGCGUUGACGGGUAGCCGGCCUGAGAGGGUGACCGGCCACAGUGGGACUGAGACACGGCCCAGACUCCUACGGGAGGCAGCAGUGGGGAAUAUUGCGCAAUGGGCGGAAGCCUGAUGCAGCAACGCCGCGUGGGGGAUGACGGCCUUCGGGUUGUAAACCGCUUUCGGCAGGGACGAAGCGUGAGUGACGGUAAUGGGUAAAGAAGCACCGGCUAACUACGUG